rnacentral:other from 1 species
AGCUCCCUGGUGUGUUGGCCAGUCGGUACGUCCCUGAGCCGAUUCACUUAACCCGGGGGCUGCACUCUGAAGCCGGUGCGCAUGUCCGCCUGACGGAAAGCCUUAACGCUUCUUGCAGCCUCCACCUUGAACUUUCGGGUUCAAGGGCCACCCCGACAGCGGCACUUCGGGGAGUCA